AUCCACCUGACAAGUCCCAAAUGGGAUGAAGUGCGCGUCAUGGAU
rfam:Schistosoma rodhaini strain Burundi genome assembly, scaffold: SROB_scaffold0001146